rnacentral:tRNA from 2 species
GUCACUUUGCCGGAGUGGUUAACGGGAUCGCCUGCUACAAGUUGUAGAGUCCAAGCGGUUGGGCUUUGCCCGCGUGUGUUCGAAUCGCACAGGUGACG